rnacentral:misc_RNA from 1 species
AAAAAAAAAAAAAUCUAGCAAAGAUCCAGAUUACCCAGAUAGGGAGCAAGUUUAGAUAACUGGAGGAAACCCCAUUCUCUGCAAGCGGAAUGCAAGCUCUCCAACCCCGAAUCCAUGGAAUCUGCAACGGCCAAUCUUUGAAGAUCUAUGACUGGAACUGACGAAGGCAACAACAUUUGGCCAGAAAUAGUUGGCGGGUCCUGAUCGAACGUUACAUAGCGAGGUGGGAUCGUGAGGAAGGAUUCUUCGGCC